rnacentral:rRNA from 1 species
UACGUAGGGCGCAAGCGUUGUCCGGAAUUAUUGGGCGUAAAGAGCUCGUAGGCGGCUUGUCGCGUCUGUUGUGAAAGCCCGGGGCUUAACCCCGGGUCUGCAUUCGAUACGGGCAGGCGUGGAGUUCGGUAGGGGAGACUGGAAUUCCUGGUGUAGCGGUGAAAUGCGCAGAUAUCAGGAGGAACACCGGUGGCGAAGGCGGGUCUCUGGGCCGAUACUGACGCUGAGGAGCGAAAGCGUGGGGAGCGAACAGG